UCUGCCCCCUGUGUGUGAGUGAUGAAGGGAGAGGGCUUGAAGCAUGGCUCUGAGGUGGAAACCAAUAUUUCUCACUGUUUCAGUGUACAUGAAAGAUGAGGGGCGAAAAAAAGGCUAAGAAUGGCAAGAGUGCUAUUAACACUUUUAGAUCCGAUGCUAAAGACUUCAUAUGUACGUAUAUUUAUAUUUAGAAAACUCAUUUAUAG
rnacentral:lncRNA from 1 species